UUCGAUGUAAUGCACAUGAGGGUGGAGAGAGGUGGAAGAAGAGGUCUGACCUGAUUUGUGGGCCCAACAUGUUUGAAAGGCGUUUAGAAGAGGUUAAUGGAGCAGUUUUCAUACUUAGUAGAUUUUUCCACUGAUUAGGCUGAAUGUGGUAGUUUUUCGUGCAAAAUCGUAUUGUGGUAGUUCGUGGGCACGUUGGCGUGGAUUGUGGUAGUUUUUGUUUAAGUAGUCUGCAAUACCAGUGUUGAGCCAGGCACUAUAUAUACUCAUUCAAAUUAACACUGAAGUGAUGACUCUAAG
rnacentral:lncRNA from 1 species